rnacentral:lncRNA from 1 species
AUAUCUCAUGCAUUUUCAUCUAUUUCUUUUGUUUUCAUUCAUAAUAAUAUAAACUAGUUAUUAGAUUCUACUUUUUUUAAUAUAGAUUAUGUUCCAAUUAUAUGUUAUUUAUUAUUGCUCUCUCUCACCAUGGUAUUUAAAACCUUGCAGCUACGCAAUUGAAGAAGCCCGACUUUUACAAGUAUCUUGGCUCGAUUGUCGUUGGAGCAUGGAUGCAUCUGAUUUCAAACAAGAUAUUUGGUACAAUGCAAGCGUUGAAGUAAUGUUGACAAGCAACGCCUCUGGAUGGAAUGUUCCACUACACCUUGAAAUCGAGUUGCCAGAUGGGAGUACGCAAAAGUCUCAAAUAGUAUUGGCAGGCAGACAACCAAAUGUGUGGUUCAAGAUUCCAAUCGGUAAAUUCAUACUAAGCGGUUCUCUGACUAGCGGAACAAUCCGAUUCGGCUUCUACAACCAUGAAGGGAAUUGGAAAAGAGGCUUGAACAUAAGAGCCCUUGCCAUUCAAGCAUAAAAAUGAGUUUAAAAUGAUAUGUUCAAGAAUGAAUAUAAAGUAAUAGAAUAAAACCCUAAAUAAUAAGAUCUUUUGCUAUGUUACAAAAACUUUUAAGUUUAAAUGUGUUAUAUUUCAGUUAUGCAAGUAAAUGUUGAAUAUAAUGUAACACAACAUAAAUAAUAUGACCUUUUGCAUAGUAGCAAUAAGGCCACUUUAAACACUUUAGUAUGUUUUUUAAUAAAGUAUGUACCGUGAGUUUAUUCUAAUUAAAUUUAAGCAUUUAUUUUGUGAUUAUUGAUUAUUUUGUACGUACGUCAUAUAACAAACAUGUUGGAAAUUAAAGAGAUAAAAUGAAAACAAGUGAACACGAUCAUAAUUUUGGAUCUUAUUAAUUUGUUAAUUAAAGGAAAUGAAUGAACAAAGAGUAAUAUGAGAAGACAAAAUUAACACUUUUUGUAAAUGAUGUUGCAAGAGUCGCUUUUAUGUUGUGAUGGAUUAGUUUUACCACCUAUUGAUUUUCAAUUAAAUAGUGACAAGUACUAUUUUAGGGUUCUCCUUAACCGAGCACAAUAUGUAAUAUGUCGAUGUAAACCACCACUUCUUGAUAGUAAGAGUAGCGAGGUCCGAUUUAACCACACAAGAAGCUUCGUGUUUAACAUUACUCUAAGGUAAAUUUUCUAAGGAACAAAGUAUAUAGUGGAGAAGUGGUUGAUAGGUAAAGUAAAUGACAUAAAUAAAGUGUGGGAAUGUAAGAUAAUAGUGAGAAAUAAAAGGGUUACCUGUAGAUUACCUUUCGAUUGAAAGAUUGUUGGGAUAGAUCGUACAGAUUGGUUCAUCGAUUUUUUAUAUAUAAGAAAUCGGACUAAGUCUAGAUACUUACUUGGACGACAAAUUAAGAUUCAUAUAACAUGUCACAAACUCCCUUGGAACGGGCCUUCUACGUAACGAGUGAGGAUAUGACUUGUGCGAACCAACGUUUCGAGAUGAAACGUCAGAUCGCCAAGGUCCUUUAAACUUAACUUAAACCUUCGGCGUAACCAUGCUGGUGAAAACUUCUGCUAUGCAGUAGGACUAUGAACGAUUUAAAAAUUAGUGAUCCUUUUAUUAAAAAUCCUAUUACAACACAAGCGUACAACUUAUAACUUAAGGGAUUGCAAAACUUAAGCUAACUACUACUACUAACACACGACACUUCUAGUACUUAGCAGCGGCCUCAUCUCGCCUCACCUGAUGACACUUCAAUGUUUAACCUAGGGACAGGAACAUAAAACAUAAGCUAAUAGCUUAGCGAGUAACAAAGAUUAGUUAGAAAUACAAUUUGGGAAAUACAAUUGCAUACAAUAAAAGCUUUCUUAUUUCCAUGGUUAAGUUUCAGACAUGAGUUUUGAGUUUAGAUUUCUUAAUGAGAUUUAUAUUAUCAUGUGAAUAAUGAGUUUCUAGAAAAUAAUUGAAACGACAGUGUUUCAAGCAAAGCACGUUUUAGAAAUUAUUGAUUAAAGAAUUUAUGUUGAUUUUACGACUGAGGCACUGAAUCAAAGGCUGUAUGGUAUUGUGUGAACAUGUGUUUAUAUUCCAUUGUCGUCAUUGAGUAUACCUCUACGACAACGAUGUUGUUGGGGGUGAUGGACUAGGCCCCACCACGACAAAGAUGAUGUGAUGGGCGAUGCUCCUACAUCAUAAAUUUUAUGUUAAGAAUGAAUGUUAUUUUUUUUCCAGCAAGACGAUCCUUAUCUGUAUCGAGUGAUCACUACCACAUCGGGGUGAGUUAGAAACCACAACUUAUCGAGAAUAUCAUUGUCUGUAUUCGAGUAACUAUACCACAAAGUGGUUAGAUGAGUUGUCAAUUAGAUAGCCAACAACAAAACUGAGACAUGCGUAGUGAAUUCACGGAUUAAAUUUUACUCUAAAUGCAACUAAACAAUUUAAAGAUUAAGAUGCUUAUAAACUACCCUAAUUAAAUGAAAUAAGGGUUAAAGAAAGAACAUAGCUUUGAAGUUUUCCAGUUCUCGUAAUCUCCUCAUGAACAUGAAAACGAGACCAUCAUUAGAAUUUAUUCGCUAUUCUCCAGACUUAGAAUCUAGUUGUGGGACCCAAUUGGUGAAAAAAAUUGAGAGAGACGAAAAAGGGAGAUAAAAUUAGGUUUGAGAUUUGGAAGAGAGUGACUCUGGUAAAGUUUUGUAAAAAUACAAAAGUAACAAAAGUUUCAAAAUUCUUGAAAAAAUUGAAAAUAGGUCUUUAAAUAACCUAAUUACAUGCAAAAUUUUAUGUAAUUAGUUGGUCAAAUCUCAACACCUAACAUUUCACUAAACACUAGUGAAACUUAGUGGGCUAAGUGUUUACAUCUCAUGUACCAACCAAAAAAUUAGUGAGAUUAUGCAAAGAAAUGUUGGAUUUUUCCACUAACUUUAGUCCAAGGACAAUAUGAUCAUUUAACCAUUUAAAUCAAAGUCAAACUUUGACUUCUUCAAGUCAAAAAUCAACAUUUUGACCUUUUACCAUUUUGUCUGUCUCGUCUAAUUUCGACCUCCCUAGCAUGAAUUUGCAUUCAUUUUUCUAAAAUUCAAAUCUCAUUUAAAUUUAAAGUUGGUCAAAGUUUGAUUUUUCAGAGUUAAAAGUCAACCUUUUGAACUUUUACAACUUUGACCAUUUCAAUUAAUUAUGAGCUUUCGAAUAUGAAUUCACAUCCAUAUUCUAUUAUAUUGACGGUAAUAUUCCUAACAUUGCAACUACUGUUUACAACUUCUUCCUAAUAUUUCCACUGUGAGAGAUGAUGCUAGGAAGGGCGUGUGACAAAAUCUCACGAAAAUACAUCUUCCAAAUAUUAAAAAAUUACCCAAACUAGCAAUGUAGUACAAUGAAAGUAAGGAUCGUGUCCACGGAAAACUUUUGAUCAGUGAAGAAAUCCUAAAAAAUCUCAUUGAACCAAAUAGUGAUUUCAAAAAUUGAGAAAAGAAGAAGGAAUAUGAUGGGGGUUUUAACAUUCAAGAAAGUAAAAAAAAAAAAAAGGGACCUAUAGUGAGAACAUCCAUUUCAAGAAUUGAUAUCAACAAAGUCAAAAGGGUUUUCUUUGAUAUCAAUCAACGGGGUUUUCUUCAAGAAAUAAAAGACUCAUUUGAUUUGAUAUGUUAUUCUUACCAUAGGGUUAAAGAAACAGGUUACAAGAACCGUGGUUCUUGUUCAAUUAAUUCAAGAUCUCAAAUGGAAAUUAUAAUUCAUUUAGCAAUUAAUUGCAAGAAUCAAUCCUUGAAAAGACAAAUGCAAGAAAUUGGUAGCCCUAAUUCCUCAAGAAUGUGAUCUGCACACUAACUUAAACUUGAACUCGAAAGAUUAAAAUGCCCAAAUUUCAAUCUAAAGAAAAUUUUAUUUCAAGAAACUAAGUUAUUAUAAAAUCACAAUCACAAUUCAAACAACAAAAUUUAUAAAAGAAACCCUCAAAUAAUAAAAAAAAAUUAACCCAAUACCUUCUUUUUUACCUUAGCCUACAAGAAUCAUUGCAAUUUUUGCAGAGUUUUGGUAAAGAAAAGAUGUCGUGGGUCUCCGUCGUAGUGGAUUUCCUCGUCGUAUGUCGUCAUCGCCAUGUGUCUCCUCGUUGUAGGUCUUCGUCGCUGAGAAGAAAGAUCAUGGAGAGAAGAAUGGGGUUGGCGUUCGGGUUUUUUGGGUUCUGUCGUGAAGAAAAUAUUGAAGAAAGGGGAAAAUAAAAAAAAAAAUUAUAUUUUCAUAAUUUUUAAUGAAAAGUUGGAGGGAACUAAGGAGAAAAUAAUAUUUUAAUAAUAUUUAAUGAAAAUUAUAUUUUAUUAUUUAUAUUCAAUGACAUUUUAAAAACGGUCAUAAAUUCUUCAAAUUCUUCAAAUUUCCUCUUUUUCCGCCAAAACGCGAAUUUUGACUUUUUGUGAUAGCUUUUUCUUCCCUCCUUUCAAUUUGGGAUAUCCACAACUAUCAUAGUAGAUAAUUUUUGUUGUAAUGCAAAGACAUGGUUUUGUCACUCACCUUCAUUAGGCCUGUUCUCCUUCGUUUGAGCUUUGUUUUGGGUGAUUUUUGUUGCAUUGUUAUUGUAUUGAAGUCUAGAUUAUUAUUCUGUAUAUAAAUACAAAAUAGUGAAUAUAUGCAUGCAUAGGAGUAAAGUUAUGUAUAAAUUGUAUGGUCUAUUUGUUGGUUUUUAUGUCCUAAAACUCGUAGAUAAUAAAGUAUAAUUCAUUGACCAUUAUCAAUAAAGUGUUAUUAUUGUAAUAAAUGUGAUUGAUUAUAUUGUUAGUUUUGUCUUAAUAACCUAAAUUCAAUAAUCUAACAUUCUAUGCGGUUUGAUGAGUCUUGAACAGUAUGUAGAGACAUACAAAGAUCAAUGUUCGAAAUAAGCUUAAAGGGUCUAUAAUAUAGGGAUAAGGUUGGAUACCUUAUCUUGGUAACACUACAUGGAUAUGGUCUACUUUGUAUUUGAUACAAACGCAAUGAUCCAAUGCGUUUCUGUAGGUGACAUACGAGUGAGGGUACCAUAUGCAAUGAGUUUGCAUAAGAUCGGACCACAAAAUAGUAACAACUAGAUGUAACUCUAUUAACUAGCACUAGGAGAAAUCGAGGUUUUCCGAUGGAAAAAAAAAUCAUCGAGAAACGAAACAAAGCUAGAAGGAGGUUUUUUCCAAUGCACCAACUUCUACGUCGGGAGCGGUGCCUUUUCCCGACGCAUGUUAACGCACGUCGCGACUGCCUGGAAUAAUUAAUUAUACCGUAGAUUUUCUCCGAUGUGACAUCAGAAACGUCAAGAAAAAGGAUACAUAUUCCUGACGCAUAAGUAAGGGCGUUGGGAAUAUGUAGGCUAUCUCAACGUCUAUAGUGUUGCAUCGUGUAAGGGACAAAACAUUAAUUGUACCGUUGGCCUUCCUCCGAUGUGACGUCAGAGAUGUUGAAAAAAAGGGUACCUAUUCCCAAUUCCAUUAGUGAUGCGUCGGAGAUAGGUUGACUAUCUCGACAUUUUUAGGCAGCGUCGAGAGUUUCCCUUUUAAUAAAUCAUUCUUUUUUACAGAAUCGAAAGAGAAAAGAGAAAGAAAACGAGAGAGAGGGAGACUGAGAAGAAGAAGAGGAGAUUUCUCACGUCACCCUUGGUCCCCACCGUUCGCUGUUGUUUCGUCGUAGUCUUCUGCCACUCGCCGUUGCAUAUUGGUAAGUAGAUUUGUUUUAUUUAGAUUAGAAAUUAUGUUUUGAAUUAGAAAUUUAGUUUUUGAAUUAGUUUUGUUUUAGGAAUAAGAUUUUGAAUUAUGUUUUGCAUUAGAAAUUAUGUUAUAGGAGGGGUUGUAGAAUUGUUGAAUUGAAAAUUAAAGGGGGUUUAAGAUUGGAUUAUGAAUUUUUAAGGAGGGGGUGUCAAAUUAAAAAUUAAAGAGGGUGUGAAUAAAAAAUUAAUGGGAGAGGAGUGAAUUGAAAGUUAAAGAAGGGGGUUGAAUUCAAAUUCUUAGGUGGGGAAGGGUUUAAUAGAAAAUUGGGGGUUGUAGCAUUUAGUUCAAAUUUUAUUGUUUAUUUUUUAACUUUCGUUUAUUAGAACUACUAGGAAUUUACGGUUCAUUUAUUAUGGCUAUCCUGCAAUUAAUUAUGCUAGUAUCUUCUCUUUAGUUCAAACUUGGUUUAAAAUUAAUUAGAUAUAGUAGGGUGUUUGAUUAGUUUGUUCGGGCUAUCCUGUAGUUAUGGUAGUCUUUAUAGUUUGAACUUACCUUCAGUUAAAAGAUUAGGAAAAUUUGGGAUAGUUUAUUCAUAGAGUAAUUAAGUUUAGGAUUUGAGAGGAGGAAUAGAGGAUUAAUGAUCAAAGAUAAUUAUGUAUUAAGUCUUUAACGAUUGACAAGGGUGGAUGCAAGUUAGGAAUAAGUUGUUAGUUGAAUAUAGAGAGGAUUCUACAAAUUGCAAUGCUAUGCGUUAUUCCACUUAAUUUUGAGUAUGCUAGCAUUAUCAAAAUCUACCAACGAUCCCUUUAUAAACUUUGAUGAGAAUCUAUAUUAUAUUUUAUUUUAUUCGGAAUAUAUUUGGAGUAAGGUUAUGAAUGAAAUAUGUGGAAACUAAAAAGAAAUUAGUAUUGAAUAUGAACCAUGUAUGGAUUAUCAAAACUCUAUCGGUUUGAAUUUUAUAUUCUUCUUGAAGCAUAAUCGACACUAUUACAAAAACUAUAUUAGUUGAUAUUUUUCUACAUUAACUAUCAAUUUACUUAACCAUUAUAAAUAUGUCAAGUAAGUUCGUGUCAAUCUGUAAUUUACCCGAUACGUUAAAAAUGCAAGCAUAUGAAGUGAUCUGUUGACUCAUUUAAAGUGUAAAUGUCAAAAUUCUAGAUAUUUAAUUAUGGAUCAACGAUUUUAUAACAUGACAAUUUUUACUCGUCAAUGUUAACUUCAUCUUAGUGCAUACAAAAAUUACUUACUUCAUUAAUAUUGAUACAUUUUAAUUGUCAAUUAGUUCAAUUAGUUCAUAUGUGGUUUUUUUUUUUAAAAAAAAUCCUAUUAUUACAAAUUAUCUAGAAUUGGGAUCGUUAUAUGCGGUCCAAAAAUGUUAUAACUUAAUAGGAAAAGAUAAUGAUUUAUUAACGAGACAAACAAACAAUAUAUAUAUAUAUGGACAAUUUAAGCUAUCGAGCACCUUAUCUCCAUGACAUGAGUUUCAAAAAGAAAAUAAACUUCAAAUCAAUAAAGUCUUUGAUAAUCUAUGGAUAUGGAUGGUUGAUACUCAAUAGUAACUUUGUUCUAAUUUCCACCGAUUUUAUCUCUAACCUAUACUCCAAAUAUAUUUUUAAUAAAUUAAAAGAGAAUAGAUUCUCAUGAAUGUUUAAUGCUUUCAUGUUUUGAUUUUGAAAAUUAAAUAAUAUAAAGAGAGAGGGAAAGAGACCAAUGGAAAGAACAAGUUAUUGACUUUUUGAAAAUAAUAUUUAUUGGAGUCAUAUAGAAAUUAAACGAUGUUAUAUGCAUAAAUUUUAUAUAAUUACAUUACUUAAGAAUUAAUAGAUGUAUAAAAAGGAUAUUUUAACAAAUAAUAUUAUAUCCGUAUAUGAAUAAUUUAACUAGUUAGAGGGAACAUAAGAACAAUUUGAGUUGAAUAAUCAAUUAUCAUGAAGAAAAUCUAAAAGUUAACUAAUUUAUAUUAAAAAAUAAUUUAAAGUAACUAAAUGAAAAAGAGUAUACAAAAGUGAAAGAUGUUGAAAAAAUGGAAUAAACAAAAGAGAGAAAGGACAAGGGAUUUUUCACUUCUUUGUAAGCCUCCGGUAGGGUAUUUAGGAGAACAAAUGCCUCAUUAUCAUCAUUGAUUUUGUCUUCAAGAUUUUUAAAGUCUGAAACUAUUUUCUUGAACUCAACUAUGUUGUUUCUUAAACUUUUGGAAGGAUCCAUUUUGUAUGUGAAUAAUUUUUCCAUUGGAUACAUUUUGUUUGGGAGAUCUUUAGUGGCAUAAACGUUUUCUAAUUUCUUCCAAAUUUUAUGUGUUGUAUCUUCUUCUAAAACUUUCCUUACUACAUUGUCAUUAAGGUUUAGUAUUAGUGUUCCAUAGACAUUUAACUACAUUUCUUCCUUUUGUAUUGCUGUGAGGGUUGUUGGAAGUUUUGAAGGAUCUAAAAGGGCUUUAUGAGUCUUUUGUUGUUCGGGCAAGACUUUAACCUUUCCCUUCCAUAAGGCAAAGUCUCCAUUUCCAUCGAACUUCUAAAUUUCUACUCUUGCCACUGCCAUUAUUAAGAUUUGUUAUGCUUUAACUCUUCCAAGAUUCAGUUUCUUGAAAUCAAGAUUGGCUCUGAUACGAAUUAAUCUUGAUACGUUUAUGGGCCUUAUUUUCAAGUCCGCUUUAAGAUACUUGGAGGCAAUGGCGGAUCCAGAAAAUUUAUUGACGGGGGGCUUCGAGUUGUAACUUAGAGGAAAAAUAAAAAUCUGGAAAAAAAACUACAUAAGUAAGACUUGGACUCUGGUUGAAAGGGAGACUAACAAGCAUAGUUAAUAUAAACUGUCUACAAACAUUAAGUAUCAAAUGGUUUUGUUUAUACAUAUUAUAUGAAGACAAUAAAGUUAAGGGGGGCGAGCCUAUACUAAAUCCGCAUGUGCUUGGAGGAGAAGUCGCCACGUCAUUUGUAGCCUAGGAUAGCCGUACAUACGUGUCGAGGUAUUUGUUUAUUCCUGCAUGUUGAGAAAAGAAAAGAAAAUACGAAAGAUAAAGAAUUUAGAGAGAAAACAAUUACCCUUUCCUUUUCCUUCGUUCUUCUUCCCGAUCAUUUUUUCCUUUAUGAACAAACCCUAGAUUUUGCUUAAUAGUGCUUUAGAUUUUGAGUAUUUGAUGUGUUCACAGAGAUAUGAAGAUGAAGGAGAGGAGAAGAUUGCAAUAAAUCUUUACGUGGCUUGGCCAAAUUUGAAGCCUACGUCUACGGGGAAGGAUCUCUUUUUUUGUUAUUGAAAAGGAGUACAAAAGUUCUACUUUCCUAUUCUCUUUAUGUGCUUUUUAGAUUGUUUAUGUGACUGUUAAAAACUAGUUUAUUUUUUGAACACAUCUUUCUAUUUAGUGUUUACAAAAACAUAAUAAUAGAGAAAUUAGGGAAUGUGAGUAACUAAGGUUGUUGGAAUUCAAUUUUCUUUACAAAGAAGAUAAUCAUCUAUUAACGAAACAAAUAAACAAUGCAUAUAUACGAAUAAUUUAAGCUAUCAAUCAACCCAAAAUUUUCACUUACCAAACAAUGUUUAUAUAUCUCGAACAUAUACAACCCUCGUAAUCAUCUCAUGUUAACAAAGUUCACAAAGAGUUUCCAAGUUAGAGACUUAUCAACCCCAUAUAGAGAAUUUUAAAAAGAAUGGUCAAACCCCAAUAUAUAAACUAUAAUAUGAAACGAAUGAUCAAACUCAUAUCUAAACAGUUCUACAUAAUACACAACUAAUAUAUAUAUCACAUGCCCCUUAUGAUCAAACACACAUGUGAGAUUUGCAAUCUGCAUACAACAAAUGAACGUUCUACCCAUAUACUAACAAGGAGCAUUUUUAAAAUUAGCAAAAUAAAUUAAAAUAUUUUUUAUUCUACCAAUGAUAGUCUUCUAUAGUUCUAUCAGUGAUAGAAUUUGCUAUAGGUUGUAAAUAUUUUGUAAAAUUUCGUUAAUAAUUCCCCUACUAACAAAUAUGUCAAUUCCAUUGAUAAUAUAAAAAAAGAUAUCAACUUAUAUGACUACGUAUAUCUUUAAAAAUUGAGCACCCUUAUCUCCAUGACAUGAGUAUAAAAAAGAAUAUAAACUUCAAAUCAAUAAACUCUUUGAUAUGGAUGGUUCAUACUCACUAGUAACUUCUUUUUAAUUUCUACAGAUUUUAUCCCUAACCUAUACUCCAAAUAUAUUCUCGAUAAAUUAAAAGAGAAUAGAUUCUCAUGAAUUUGAAUGCUUUCAUGUUUUGAUAUUGCAAAUUAAAUAAUAUAACGAAAAAGUGAGUGAGAAAAAUGAAAAAGGAGAUGAAAAGAACAAGUUAUUGACUUUUCAAAAAUAAUAUUUAUUGGAGUCAUAUAGAAAUUAAACGAUGUUAGAUUGUACUUUGGAAGGCUAUUAUUAAACCUAUCAAAGAUAAAUAAUAAUAAUCAAUAAUAACAAUAAUAUAUAUAAGAAUUAGAAAAAUUGUAAAAAAAAAAUAGAAAAUUUGACAAAAUAUUUACCACAUAUAGUAAACUUUUGAGAUUCUAUCAAUAAUAGACAUUGAUAGUCACUGAUAUGUUUCUAUCAAUGACAUUGAUAGAAGGUGAUAAACAUCUACCCGUUUCUAUCAUUGGUAGAAUAAUUUUUUUUUUGUUAUAACUUGUAAUUAUUUUAAUUUAUUUUUUUAUUUUUAAAAAUGAUUUUAAAUAUUAUUUAUUUAUUCGAUGAUACAAAUGCACAUAAAUUUUACAAAGGGUCUUUUAACAAAUAAUUUUAUAUCUAUAUAUGUAUAAUUUAGGGACAAUUUUAAAAAUAGCAAAAUAAAUUAAUAUAUUUGCAAGCUAUAACAAAAUUUUAGAUUUUAUGAAUGAUAGUCUUUUAUCACUAUAACAUAUCAAUAACUAUCAGUGAUAUAAUUUGUUAGAGAUCGUAAUUAUUUUAUAAAAUUUGUUAUUUUUGAAAAUUUUCCAACAAUUUAACUAAUUACAUGGAACAAAAGAACAAUUUGAGUUGGAUAAUCAAUUAUCAUGAAGAGAAUAUAAAAGUUAACUAACUUAUAUUAAAAAACAAUUUAAAGUAACUAAAUGAAAAAAAAUAUAUAAUAAUGAAAGAGGUUGAAAAAAUGGAAUAAACAAGAGAGAGAGGAUAAGGGCUAGGAAAAAGUGGUUGCAUUUGGAAAGGUCUAAAAUGCCCUCAUGGAUGGAUAUAAAAGAACAAAGACAUCGCAGACUUCAACAUCUCAUCCUCCAUACCUGUAACCAAUCAAGGACCUUUAUACAACAUUUUUUCAUUCUGAUCUUUAUUUCUAUAUCUAUCUGAAUACCAUUUUAAUGGCAGGCUACAGCACACAUUAUUUGGCAUUUCCAAGAGCUUCCACAAUAACAUGGAGUGAUGACACUCGAUAUUGGAGUUGGGCCACCGUAGAUUUUUGCAGGUAUAAUCUUCAACUCAAAUUUUAUUUGUUCAUUUAUUCAUAUCUCAUACAUUUUCAUCCAUUUCUUUUGUCUUCAUUCAUAAAAAUAUAAACUAGUUAUUAGAUUCUACUUUCAUGAAUAUAGGUUAUGUUCCAAUUAUAUGUUAUUUAUUAUUGUUCUCUCUCACCAUGGUAUUUAAAACCUUGCAGCUACGCAAUUGAAGAAGCCCGACUUUUACAAGUAUCUUGGUUCGAUUGUCGUUGGAGCAUGGAUGCAUCUGAUUUCAAACAAGAUAUUUGGUACAAUGCAAGCGUUGAAGUAAUGUUGACAAGCAACGCCUCUGGAUGGAAUGUUCCACUACACCUUGAAAUCGAGUUGCCAGAUGGGAGUAAGCAAGAGUCUCAAAUAGUAUUGGCAGGUAGACAACCAAAUGUGUGGUUAAAGAUUCCAAUAGGUAAAUUCAUACUAAGGGGUUCUCUGACUAGCGGAACAAUCCGAUUCGGCUUGUACAACCAUGAAGGGAAUUGGAAAAGAGGCUUGAACAUAAGAGCCCUUGCCAUUCAAGCAUAAAAAUGAGUUUGAAAUGGUAUGUUCAAUAAUGAAUAUAAAGUAAUAGAAUAAAACCCUAAAUAAUAAGAUCUUUUGCUCUGUGACAAAAACUUUUAAGUUUAAAUGUGUUAUAUUUCAGUUAUGCAAGUAACUGUUGAAUAUAAUGUAACACAACAUAAAUAAAUAAAUAAUAUGACAUGUUGCAUAGUAGUAAUAAGGCCAGUUUAAACACUUUAGUAAGUUUUUCAAUAAAAGUAUGUACUGUGAGUUUGUUCAAAUUAAAUCUAAGCACUCAUUUUGUGAUUGCUGAUCAUUUUGUACAUACAUUUUGAAAAUUAAAAAGAUAAAAUGAAAACAAGUUAACACAAUCAUAAUUUUGAUAUUAUUAAUUUGUUAAUUAAAUUAGGAAUUAAAUGAACUAAAAGUAACAUGAGAAGACAAAAUUAACACUUGUGUAAAUGAUGUUGCAAGAGUUACUUUUACGUUGUGAUGGAUUAGUUUUACCACCUACUGAUUUUCAAUUAAAUAGUCACAAGACCUAUUUUAGGGUUCUCGUUUAAUCAAGUAUAAUAUGUAAUAUGUUGAUGUAAACCACAACUUCUUGAUAGUAAGAGUAGCGAAGUCCGAUUUAACCACACAAGAAGCUUCGUGUUUAAUAAUACUCUAAGGUAAAUUUUUCUAAGGAAAAGAGUAUAUAGUGGGAGAGUGGUUUAUAGGUAAAGUAAAUGACAUAAAUAAAGUGUGGGAAUGUAAGAUAAUAGUGAGAAAUAAUAGGGUUACCUAUAGAUUACCUUUCAAUUGAAAGAUUCUUGAGAUAGAUCAUACAGAUUGAUUCGUCAAUUUAUUAUAUAAGAAUAGGGUUAUAUAAUCUAAGUACAACAAUAGCAAAAACAAUCUAGAAACAUCGGACAAACUCUCUUAUCGUAAUGAAUCAAUCAUAGACAACAAAAUCAAUUUUAAACUAAUCAACACUACUACAAAAAAGGGUUUACUUGACACUUUUCAAUGGGUUUAAUAAUCCAGUUUUAAGUAUAAGGGAGGUUCAGACAAUUUUUAAGCGUCAAGUACAAUUAUACUUGACAGGUGAAAAACAUCAAGUAUAUUACUUGACGCUUUCUACUUGUCAAGUUAUCCAGUGUCAAGAAUAAAUGGGUUUUUUGUUUGAAAGUUUUUAUGCGUCAAGUAAAAUUGUACUUUACAGUUUAUGAAGGUCAAGUAUACAAGAUUAGUUGACAGUUUCUAUAUGUCAAGGAUUUGAUUACUCUUGACACUCUUUGCAUGUCAAGGUUUUUUUUUUUCAAAUGAAAAAUUAUAUAUUUUAAAAUUAUAAGAUAAUGCUUUUUACCAAAAAUUAUAUAUUUUAAAGUAUCGACAUAUAUAAUUUAUCAUGCACCUAUUUUGAAGUUCAACAAUGACGAACAUAAGUAAAGCAAGAGAGUACUGAAAUGUGUUAAAUUACACAUUAAUUGAACAAUUGAAUCAACUCAAAUUUUCCAUCAAAUAAGUAAUAGUAUCUUAACAAGUUGCAUAUAUAUAUGUGUGUGUGUAUAUAUAUAUAUAUCAAUGAACCAUACAUGUAGUUAGUCCAAAUUUAUAACAAAAGCCUAAACUUUCUAUCCAUGUGUAGCUUAUAGGUAUAGCCUAAACUUUCCAUCUAUGUAUAUAUAGCCUAAACUUUCCACCUAUGUAUAGCCUAAAGGGUACCAUACCAAAACUUGUCGUUCUAGUAUCAACAAAAUAUCAACACUAAUUCACCUAUAUCCAAUAUGAACAAAAUAUCACACUUAUAUUCAGUAUGAACAAAAUAUCAACAAAAUCUGUUUAUCUAACCAAAAAUAUAAUCACCAUAAUCAAAUGUGGCCACCCAAAAAAAUUAGCAAGCUUCAUUCGCACUUCAUCCAACUCGAAUUGACUAUAUGAGCUCCUUAUAUCAAUCUGAUAUGAAACCUAAAAUUUUGAAGUUAGUACUUUGAUUACUUAAAUUGUAUAAAAUAAUUCAAACAAUCAUUUAAACACAACAUACCGAAUCUAUGACUACUAUGUUUCCAUUAGUGAUUAUAUCUCUCAUGUAUCUCAUCAUAUAGUACCCGCAUUCAAAUAUUUCAACUUGCAAAGGACACUGUAUAUAUAUAAAUUACCAAAAUACUUCAUAGUGCAAAUACCCCAUAUAACGUAUACUUUUAAUUAACGAAUAAAUAUGUUUACACUUACCUUCCCUAUAUUUUCCAUAUUGGUUGUUUUCGACUUGUUUGAAUAUUUUUCUGAGAUUGAAAGAUAGUAAUAGUCCUAUUUCCAAGAAACAACUACACGUUACCCACAAAGUGAACUUUAAAACGAAAAACAUCAUACAUGAAAGAAGCUUAUUUAUGUGUCAAUUACAUAUCUAAUAUCUACUCUUGAUGUUGUUCAAAGUGAGUCAAUAUGGUAGACUUCAUCGUAUGCGUUAAUAGCCAGAAGUGUCAUUUCCCACUACAUAGAAAUAAUACAAGUAGAUUGUUUUCACUGUCAGUGCAAUACAUUUUAAUGACAAUAAGCAUUAAUUAUAGUCUACAAAUCAGUUUUUCUACGCUAAAUCAAAAGUAGACGACAACAAUAAAAGUUGAACCUCCCCCUCCCCCCACCCCCCAUGAUUGCCUUAACAUAAUCCAAAGCCCUAAGCUUGAUCAAUUCAAAGAAGCAAAUCACACAAUAUGAUCAAAAGCUAAAUGGAGAGCACAUAAAAGUAUGAGUUAUGUGUUUCAAUAUCAAUGGAAGAAGAAGCAAUAUAUUUUAAUGAAUCAAUUAGUAUAAUAUUACUUACUCUAGAUUAAAAGGAGCCCGAACGAUACAAAGAACUUACUCAUGUUGACAUCUUUGAAUCUACAAUCCACCGAAUUUGGGGACACCACCCGUCAGAGACCUUCCUAUCCUAUGGGACGAGAUUGAUUUGUGGGAACUAAUUGAGAUGGAAAAAGUUUUAGAGAGAAACUAUUUUGCAGAAAAAGAAAAUCAUUAGUUUAAUUGAUUGGUUAAGAAAAACUGUUUUUCUUUGCAUAUUUAUAAAUCUUUUUUCUUUGUGGAGUAGGAGAGAACCAUGAGACUCUGUUAAUUUUAAAAUAUGAGAAUUAUGAGAUUCUGUUAAUUUUAAAAUAUUAAAUUAAUAGAAAUUUCAAAUCAUCUAAUUAAUUAACAAUUAAAUCAUAUUUCAUUUAAAUCUUAUUUAAUGAAUAUAUCUAUGAUAUCUUAUUAAUUUAAUUAAAUAAAACUAAACUAUUGAUUAAUUUUCUGAUUAAUUAAUAGUUAAAUUAAAUAUCUUAUAUUUAACUUAAAUUAAAUUUGAAUCAUAUUCAAAUAUAAAUUUCUCUCGUAACCAAUAAUUUUAAUAGGAAUUCAAUUGACAUUAAAUUAAUAUUUGAACUCAUUCAAAUAUUUUAUCUCUCAUAAAUUAAUUUUGAAUCAGUACGAAGAAGGUUGAACUCGAACGGAGAGAAGAGAUUGCGAGGUGGUGACAGUUAGCUUGGAUAUGGGGAGAGAAGAUGAAAAAAAAAAAAAGAUGUGGAAUGGCAUGCGUGGGUUUAUUUUUUUAAAUAUAAUGAUGAUGAUAAUAAUAAUAGAAUCUAUUACUAUUAUUAUUACUACAUAAACAAUAACUAUUAUUAUUUUACGUGUAUUUAUCAAGUUUCUAUUUCUUUCUUUUCCACAACUUCUAUCAAAACAACACCCAACAAUUUAAAAUCUUUAAAUAAAAUGGCAAUUUGUUUAAAAUAAAAUACCUCAAAGUCAAGGAUAUUACAUUUAAAAAUUGAGCACCCUUAUCUGGAUGACAUGAGUUUCAAAAAGAAUAUAAACUCCAAAUCAAUAAACUCUUUGAUAUGGAUGGUUCAUACUCAGUAGUAACUUCUUUUUAAUUUCUACAGAUUUUAUCCCUAACCUAUACUCCAAAUAUAUUCUCGAUAAAUUAAAGAGAAUAGAUUCUCAUGAAUUUUAAUGCUUUCAUGCUUUGAUAUUGAAAAUUAAAUAAUAUAACGAAAAAGUGAGUGAGAAAAAUGGAAAAGGAGAUGAAAAGAACGGGUUAUUGACUUUUCAAAAAUAAUAUUUAUUAGAGUCAUAUAGAAAUUAAACCACGUUAGAUUGUACUUUGGAAGGCUAUUAAUAAACCUAUCAAUUAUAAAUAAUAAUAACAUUAAUAUAUAUAAGAAUUAGGAAAAUUGUAAAAAAAAAAAAAGUAAAUUUGACAAAAUAUUUACAACAUAUAACCAAAUUUUGAGAUUCUAUCAAUAACAGAUAUUGAUAGCCACUGAUAUGCUUCUAUCAAAGACAUUGAUAGACGGUGAUAGAAAUCUACCCGUUUCUAUCAUUACUAGAAUAAUUUUUUUUUUGUUAUAACUUGUAAUUAUUUUAAUUUAUUUUGUUAUUUUAAAAAAUGCUUCUAAAUAUUAUUUAUUUAUUCGAUGAUACAAAUGCCCAUAAACUUUACAUAAUUACACUCUUAUAAAAAUGGUCUUUUAACAAAUAAUUUUUAUAUCCAUAUAUGUAUAAUUUAGAGACAUUUUUAAAAAUAGCAAAAUAAAUUAAUAUAUUUACAAGCUAUAACAAAAUUUUAGAUUUUAUCAAUGAUAGUCUUCUAUCACUAUAACAUAUCAAUGACUAUCGGUGAUAGAAUUUAUUAGAGAUCGUAAAUAUUUUAUAAAUUUUGCUACUUUUAAAAAUAUUCCAACAAUUUAAUUAAUUACAGGGAAGAUAAGAACAAUUUUAGUUGAAUAAUCAAUUAUCAAGAAGAAAAUAUAAAAGUUAACUAACUUAUAUUAAAAAAUAAUUUAAAGUAACUAAAUGAAAAAGAGUAUAUAAAAAUAAAAGAUGUUGAAAAAAUGGAAUAAACAAAAGAGAGAAAGGAUAAGGGAUAGGAAAAAGUGGUUGCAUUUGGAAAGGUCUAAAAUACCCUCAUAGAUGGAUAUAAAAGAACAAAGAUAUCCUCCAUACUUGAAACCAAUCAAGGACCUUUAUACAACAUUUUCUCAUUCUCAUCCUUACUUUUAUAUCUCUCAAAUACCAUUUUAAUGGCAGGCCAAAGCACACAUUAUUUGGCAUUUCCAAGAGCUUCCACAAUAACAUGGGGUGAUGACACUCGAUAUUGGAGUUGGGCCACCGUGGAUUUUUGCAGGUAUAAUCUUCAACUCAAAUUUUAUUUGUUCAUUUAUUCAUAUCUCAUACAUUUUCAUCCAUUUCUUUUGUCUUCAUUCAUAAAAAUAUAAACUAGUUAUUAGAUUCUACUUUCAUGAAUAUAGGUUAUGUUCCAAUUAUAUGUUAUUUAUUAUUGUUCUCUCUCACCAUGGUAUUUAAAACCUUGCAGCUACGCAAUUGAAGAAGCCCGACUUUUACAAGUAUCUUGGCUCGAUUGUCGUUGGAGCAUGGAUGCAUCUGAUUUCAAACAAGAUAUUUGGUACAAUGCAAGCGUUGAAGUAAUGUUGACAAGCAACGCCUCUGGAUGGAAUGUUCCACUACACCUUGAAAUCGAGUUGCCAGAUGGGAGUAAGCAAGAGUCUCAAAUAGUAUUGGCAGGCAGACAACCAAAUGUGUGGUUCAAGAUUCCAAUCGGUAAAUUCAUACUAGGGGGUUCUCUGACUAGCGGAACAAUCCGAUUCGGCUUCUACAACCAUGAAGGGAAUUGGAAAAGAGGCUUGAACAUAAGAGCCCUUGCCAUUCAAGCAUAAAAAUGAGUUUGAAAUGAUAUGUUCAAGAAUGAAUAUAAAUUAAUAUAAUAAAACCCUAAAUAAUAAGAC